ACAGCCAUAUCAAUUUGAAAUGCUGGUUCCCUUACAAUCACCAAAGUUAAGCAAUGUUGAGCUGGGUCAGUGCCUAGAUGAGUGAUCACCUGGGAAUACCAAGUGC